GUGAGCGUAGCUCAAUUGGUAGAGCUCUGGACUGUGGCUCCAGCGGUUGGGGGUUCGACACCCCUCGCUCACCCCA
rnacentral:tRNA from 1 species